GGGCUCUGAAUGCUUAUUGCACCACAUGUGUUUUUCUUUGAAACAAACUUGCUUUGGCGGUGGGCCCAGCCUGCCGCCAGAGGUCUAAACUUACAACCAAUUUUUUAUCAACUUGUCACACCAGAUUAUUACUUAAUAGUCAAAACUUUCAACAACGGAUCUCUUGGUUCUCGCAUCGAUGAAGAACGCAGCGAAAUGCGAUACGUAAUAUGAAUUGCAGAUAUUCGUGAAUCAUCGAAUCUUUGAACGCACAUUGCGCCCUCUGGUAUUCCGGAGGGCAUGCCUGUUUGAGCGUCGUUUCUCCCUCAAACCGCUGGGUUUGGUGUUGAGCAAUACGACUUGGGUUUGCUUGAAAGACGGUAGUGGUAAGGCGGGAUCGCUUUGACAAUGGCUUAGGUCUAACCAAAAACAUUGCUUGCGGCGGUAACGUCCACCACGUAUAUCUUCAAACUUUGACCUCAAAUCAGGUAGGACUACCCGCUGAACUUAAGCAUAUCAAAAGCCGGAGGAA
rnacentral:rRNA from 1 species